GACGAACGCUGGCGGCGUGCCUAAUACAUGCAAGUUGAGCGAUGAAGAUUGGUGCUUGCACCAAUUUGAAGAGCAGCGCACGGGUGAGUAACGCGUGGGGAAUCUGCCUUUGAGCGGGGGACAACAUUUGGAAACGAAUGCUAAUACCGCAUAAUAACUUUAAACAUAAGUUUUAAGUUUGAAAGAUGCAAUUGCAUCACUCAAAGAUGAUCCCGCGUUGUAUUAGCUAGUUGGUGAGGUAAAGGCUCACCAAGGCGAUGAUACAUAGCCGACCUGAGAGGGUGAUCGGCCACAUUGGGACGGAGACACGGCCCAAACUCCUACGGGAGGCAGCAGGAGGGAAUCUUCGGCAAGGGACGAAAGUCUGACCGAGCAACGCCGCGUGAGUGAAGAAGGGUGUCGGAUCGUAAAACUCUGUUGGUAGAGAAGAACGUUGGUGAGAGUGGAAAGCUCAUCAAGUGACGGUAACUACCCAGAAAGGGACGGCUAACUACGUG
rnacentral:rRNA from 1 species